CUCAAUAAACUUAUCUGGGUCAGAGAACAGAAUAGUCACUAGAUAUAGAAGUCAGAAAAUAGUGGCACACUCACCUUCAAUCCUAGCAUUCCAGAGGCAGAAAUCCGUUUGGAUCUCUGAGUUUAAAGCCACGCUGGAAACAUCUAGGCAUGGUGACACAUGCCUUUAAUCCUAGGAAGUGAUGGUAGGAAGCAGAAAGGUAUAUAAGGCGUGAGGACCAGGAACUAGAGCCUGGGUAAGCUUUUAGGUGUUUGAACAGCAGUUCAGCUGAGAUCCAUUUGGACGAGGACUUAGAGACUUCCAGUUUGAGAAAAACGAGAUCACCUGAGGAACUGGUGAGUCGAGGUUAGCUGUGGCUGGUUCUGUUUCUCUGAUCUUUCAGCGUUCACCCCAAUAACUGGCUCCGGGUUUGUUCUUAUUAAUAAGACAUUUUAAGAUUUGUGCUACAUGGUAGAACUGGGUUUGCCAGCCUCAUCUGAGUCACCCAGUGUUUAUGAUCUUCCUGUUUCUUUUCGACGACAGCCUGCCAUUGCAAGGAGAAGAGCUGCUCCCUUCUUUUGGAAAGAGACUGGAGUUUACAUCGAUGCAAGCCAUGACUUCAUUAACUGUGACUAAGUGAAGAGGACCUUUCCAUGCCUGCAUGCAGGACAAGGGAUGCUCCUCUUGAUUCUUUGGAGGUUCUUCACUUCCCAUUCCUGUUACCCCUCUUGCAAUCAGAGCCAUUGGUAUCUUCUGGUCACCUGUUCCACAGCCCUUGGAAACUGACAACAGCCUCAGAUGUCUAGAUCUCACGAGCUUCUGUUCAGUUGACAAAUCGGAAAGUGGCUGAAGGUACCUCAGUGUGUUGGGCAUCUGGAUGCACGGAAAGAUAAACCCUUUGCAAAAAGGGGUUGAAGAGGAGAGCUUGGUCAGAGGAGAGACUUCUGAGAAGUGGCUUUAUAAUGUUCCAAGAAUACAAAGGAACCCAGAAAUGGCUUCUUUGAAAUGGAGGACCAGGAUUUUAAUUGCCUAGAUAUGAUUUCCAGCUAUCAGAUUUUGAAAAUGUGGUCAGAAUUUGUAAGAGAUUUAUGGAAAUCUCCUUAUUCUGGAGCUUUAAACAAGACAUUAAUUUCUCUUGUUAGCAGAAGAGCUGAACUUCCUGUAAGUGAUAGGAUGAAGUAAUAACUGUGAUGCUGGGUUCCAGGAACAUGGCACAUUUUCUUGCCAUUAACUGAGUCAGGUGAUGGACACAUUGCCAACGACCUUUAGAAUAUUCUCAAGUGUCCUGUCUCCUUAUUGGGCUUUCUUCCUUACCUCCUUCUAAGUACUCAUUUCCCCCUUACUCUCAAUUGUCCAUCCUUAGGGCUAAUUUCCAUUUUCCAUCAUUUCCCAUGUGACUGUGAAUAUUGAGGCCAUGAUAAACAUGAAACUUAGCAGAUCCAGGGACCUCUUCUGGCCACCUACAGAUAUUCUGAGCAGACCUCUAAACCAGGAAGGCAGGAAGAAGAUCCUAGUGUCUCAAACUCAGUGAAAAUAAAAAGAAUAAUUGGGCUGGGCAUGUAGGUCCAUCAGUCAGCAGAGUGCUUCCCUAGCAUGCCCAAGGCUCUGGGUUCCAUCCAUAGCACCAGAUGUCAGCAAUCCCUGUACUCAGGAGUUGGAGCCAGGAGGAUGCAGCAGUUUAAGGUCAUCCUGAGCUACAUACCAAGUUCAAGCCUAGCCUGAGAUUUGUGAGAGCCUGUCACAAAACAAAACAAAGCAAAACAACUGCCCCCCACCACACAACCUCCAUGGUUUGAACCCCAGCACCCUGCCACCAGUAAAACAGAUUCUUCUACAAGAAGGAUGCAGAAGGAAGAUACCACUUGAAGUGUUUUGUCCACUCUGCUAGCUCUGUUAAGCAAGCAGCCCAAGUUAGCUCAGUCUUCAGUGAAAUGCUGUAGUUACAGCAAGUCUAUAGGUCUGCAUUUGAAGAAGGUUGUUCCCAACAUUAUAGCAACAGGAAAUAAAAACAAAUUUGCACCCACUAUGUGAAAGUAGUUUUCAUAAACAGCAUUAAGUGUUUAUAACUUCACAAACGCACACUGUACAUGUAAAGAAGGAGAAAAGAAUAAUUUAGGGGAACUGAAUGGGAGGAAUAUGUUGCUUUUAGUACAAAACAAUCAUUCUAGUUUCGUUUGAAGUUAGAAGAAAAAGAGAUAAGUGAGUUUAUAGGCUUCAGUGAACUUAUAAAAAUCUUUACAUCAAGAGUUAUUAGUUUUUAAAAGGUCCCUUUUAAGGUUAUGAGAAAAGACUAAGGGAAACAUUAAGAAAUUGAAUUGUUGUGCACGGUAUGGAACUCCACAUUUCCAUUUUUGACAGAACAAGUGACUCUCUGCCACGAAGAUGAAAGAAAUUAGUGUUUGAGCAGCUCUCCAGAUAGACUCCCUCGUUCCUACCUCUGACUACUAUUUCUACCACAUCUGCGUUUAUGACAUUUCCGUUUUAUUCUGUAACCACAAUCUACUCAGUUCAAAUCCUGCUUGUAAGAGCUGUAAAAUCCUGAGGACUGUAACACCA